GACGUAGGGGGCCAGCGUUGUUCGGAAUUACUGGGUGUAAAGGGUUCGUAGGCGGUGCGGCAAGUCGGGAGUGAAAUCUCUGGGCUUAACCCAGAGGCUGCUUCCGAAACUGCUGUGCCUGAGUGUGGGAGGGGCGCGUGGAAUUGCAGGUGUAGCGGUGAAAUGCGUAGAUAUCUGCAGGAACACCCGUGGCGAAAGCGGCGCGCUGGACCACUACUGACGCUGAGGAACGAAAGCUAGGGGAGCAAACAGG
rnacentral:rRNA from 1 species